rnacentral:rRNA from 1 species
GGAUGAACGCUGGCGGCGUGCCUACUACCUGCAAGUCGAGCGAACAGACGAGGAGCUUGCUCCUCUGACGUUAGCGGCGGACGGGUGAGUAACACGUGGAUAACCUACCUAUAAGACUGGGAUAACUUCGGGAAACCGGAGCUAAUACCGGAUAAUAUAUUGAACCGCAUGGUUCAAUAGUGAAAGACGGUUUUGCUGUCACUUAUAGAUGGAUCCGCGCCGCAUUAGCUAGUUGGUAAGGUAACGGCUUACCAAGGCAACGAUGCGUAGCCGACCUGAGAGGGUGAUCGGCCACACUGGAACUGAGACACGGUCCAGACUCCUACGGGAGGCAGCAGUAGGGAAUCUUCCGCAAUGGGCGAAAGCCUGACGGAGCAACGCCGCGUGAGUGAUGAAGGUCUUCGGAUCGUAAAACUCUGUUAUUAGGGAAGAACAAAUGUGUAAGUAACUAUGCACGUCUUGACGGUACCUAAUCAGAAAGCCACGGCUAACUACGUG